rnacentral:lncRNA from 1 species
AUGCCUCUGGAUUGUACCAGAAGGGAGACAGGGACCACUGAUAAGACACGGUAUAUGGUAUCAGUCAGACUUGGCUUCUCUCUCUCCUGCUUCAUCGGAGGCUGGACUCUCCUCGUUCUUGGUUUCUCCGUUUUCUGCAGGUACACACACUCCAGAUCGGUUCUAGGAAGAGUGGGUCACUUCCUCCACUUGUUCCUUUUUAUCUGUUGUACUGUGCAGCACAGUGGGGAUUCACAUCUGCCUCCCAGCUUCACCGUGAGCUGUCAACGGCAGGGAUUGGAACCUGAUUUAUCGCCAUCCCUGGUGCCAGUGCAAGGCUGGUGCAUGGCCAGCCCAGGAAGUGCCUGAGGGGAAAGAGACAAGACUGCUCCUCUCUGGGCAAAGAGAAGACAUAAGAAAGGAAGGUUCUCCCUGCUUCUGCAGCCUCUCUCAGACUGAACCUACUCAGUGAGUGUCAUUGAUGGCUGGCUGUAGUCUCAGACCACCCGGCAUCUUCCCUUCUUCCCAUCUGAGGACCCUCCCUUCAGCAAUCAUUCCAGGCGGUUCCAGGGCAAACCCCUGUCCUCAGCUCCCAGCACUGGUCCCCCUGACCGGGGAAGAGAGCUCCUUUCUCUCCCCACCUGUCUGGUUCACUGUCUAAACCUGGCAACCAGGCCGGGCACCUGCCUGAGCCCCAAGACUACCUGGACGUGGGUGAAUGGAGGACAGCACCACAAGGAUGCUGUUGGAGCUCCUGGAUCUAUUUUUUGGAAUAGAAGAUUUCCUUUCUUUUCUUGCUUAAGUUGAUGUCUUAGCUCAGGUGCCAUAAUAAAAUAACCAGGUGAUUCA